rnacentral:rRNA from 1 species
UACGGAGGGUGCGAGCGUUGUCCGGAAUUAUUGGGCGUAAAGGGCUCGUAGGCGGUUUGUCGCGUCGGGAGUGAAAACGCCGUGCUUAACACGGCGCUUGCUUUCGAUACGGGCAGACUAGAGGUAUGCAGGGGAGAACGGAAUUCCUGGUGUAGCGGUGAAAUGCGCAGAUAUCAGGAGGAACACCGGUGGCGAAGGCGGUUCUCUGGGCAUUACCUGACGCUGAGGAGCGAAAGCAUGGGGAGCGAACAGG